UACGUAGGGGGCAAGCGUUGUCCGGAUUUAUUGGGCGUAAAGAGCGUGUAGGCGGCCAUACAGGUCAGCUGUGAAAACUCGAGGCUCAACCUCGAGACGUCGGUUGAAACCGUAUGGCUAGAGUCCGGAAGAGGAGAGUGGAAUUCCCGGUGUAGCGGUGAAAUGCGCAGAUAUCGGGAAGAACACCCGUGGCGAAGGCGGCUCUCUGGGACGGUACUGACGCGUGAGACGCGAAAGCGUGGGGAGCGAACAGG
rnacentral:rRNA from 1 species